rnacentral:rRNA from 1 species
CCUACGGGGUGCAGCAGUGGGGAAUAUUGCACAAUGGGCGCAAGCCUGAUGCAGCCAUGCCGCGUGUAUGAAGAAGGCCUUCGGGUUGUAAAGUACUUUCAGCGGGGAGGAAGGUGUUGUGGUUAAUAACCACAGCAAUUGACGUUACCCGCAGAAGAAGCACCGGCUAACUCCGUGCCAGCAGCCGCGGUAAUACGGAGGGUGCAAGCGUUAAUCGGAAUUACUGGGCGUAAAGCGCACGCAGGCGGUUUGUUAAGUCAGAUGUGAAAUCCCCGGGCUCAACCUGGGAACUGCAUCUGAUACUGGCAAGCUUGAGUCUCGUAGAGGGGGGUAGAAUUCCAGGUGUAGCGGUGAAAUGCGUAGAGAUCUGGAGGAAUACCGGUGGCGAAGGCGGCUUACUGGUCUGCAACUGACGCUGAGGCGCGAAAGCGUGGGGAGCAAACAGGAUUAGAUACCCCCGUAGUC